AAACCGCCUUCUCUCGAACCUUCCGAUCCUGUUUAAAUAGAGCCACGGAGAACAACUUUUACAGAACAAACCAAGAAGAUUGAUGGUUACCUGUGAGAGAGUGAAUACCUGGUUACCAGCAGAAUCCCAGGGUGAAGAGGACGACGAAGACCAAGAUCUGGGAGGAGGGUUCUCAAGCAAUCUUCAUCGAAUCCAUGAUCUACCAGAAGCGGAAACCAAGAGCAUGACAAGCUCAAAGAGAGUCGUGGUGGGUGAUGGGAAGCACCAGUAGUAGUAGGAGGAGAUAUAUUCUGCACUCCUCACUGGUCAGAGGAAGAGCCAACAAGAAACGGCGAGCCUCCUCAGCCACUUUGAUCUUCAGCUCUUCCAGUGAGUUCAACUACUGCAGCUGUAGCAUGUUGAGAUCUUUAGUAGGUAGUACCUGUCUGAUAUGUAAUGCCAAGUAUAUCUGGAAAAGUCUUGAGCGGUGGAAGGGGAAGCUGAAUCCCAGAUAAGAAUGGAGUUGAGAGCAUAAACUCGAGCCGGUUGACAACAAAACUGGCCAACCGUGAGAGGAUCCAAAUUGCAUCUCUUGACUCUUUGGGCAUGUUGAUGUUCGAGUUGUAAAGGCUGCCUUCAAGACUGUAAACCUAGACCCUUCAAUGGCCUCAUCUUUGUUUAGAUCUCGAGGAAGAACGAGCCACACGUUGUUCCGGGUAGCCAAGUGAAGGAUGGUGACUUUGUAAUUUCAUUAACUGCGCGCAGCAGACCAUGAGGGACAAAUUAACUGCUUUUGAGGGUGGAUCUUGAUAGACCAUCUUGACAUGGGAAAAUUGUAUUUUAAUUCCAGCUUUUGUCAUUUGUCAUCUUCAAGAAGAUAACCUGGAGUCUGGUUAAUUUCAUUUGUCAUCUUCACUAGUUCCAGCUUUUUUGCCGACCCUUGGUCUUU